UACAGAGGUCCCAAGCGUUGUUCGGAUUCACUGGGCGUAAAGGGUGCGUAGGCGGUCGGGUAAGUCUGAUGUGAAAUCUCCAAGCCUAACUUGGAAACUGCAUUGGAUACUAUCCGGCUCGAGGAAUGGAGGGGAGACUGGAAUACUUGGUGUAGCAGUGAAAUGCGUAGAUAUCAAGUGGAACACCAGUGGCGAAGGCGGGUCUCUGGGCCGAUACUGACGCUGAGGAGCGAAAGCGUGGGGAGCGAACAGG
rnacentral:rRNA from 1 species